rnacentral:lncRNA from 1 species
UUAUUUGCACAAACUGAUAAAAAAAUAUAUUAAACUUUUGUUUUUUGAAUAGAUAUAUAUUAAACUUUUACAGCUUGAAGUUUAGUUUUUCUAGUUAUGAAAUUGGAAAUAGAUUAGAAAUAGAUUAUAGAUUGAAAUUAAUUCAUAUAUUUUAUUUAUUUAAGAAAGUAAGAAGCCAAGAAUUGAGUGCAAAGUUUGCCACGUCCCAUUUGUGUUCCUUGCAUGAGUAGUUUCCAUAUUUGGUUUCGGGGGGGGGGGGGGGAGGGGGGGGGGUGCCAUCAAGCAUAAUCAACUAUAAAUUUUUCUUAAAUCAAUAGCUUCCUAGCUAGUAAUCACUUAUCAACCAAAGAGUCAAGGGUGACAUGACACCUUUUGACUUAGCUCCGCCCCUAAGGAGGAGGACUAGAGGUGCAAAUGAUGAUCAAAAUGUUGCUUUAGUUGCGCUAAGUUUUGAGUCUAUCAGUUUAGGUAGUGGGACUGGAACCUCAAAUGAAUCCCAAGAAGACAACAAUCAAUAUGGCUAUAAUCAAUGCACAUAAAUCAGUGAUCAGUCAUCCAGUUGGAUUCAUCCUUACUAUCCACUUAUAGGGGAAACAGUCGGUUGCUCCAAAGAGAUUAUCAUAUAUAUAUAUACACACACAGAGAGGAUGUGAAGCGGACAUCCGCACUCCGGCUUAAAGUGCGGACGUCGUCUGUUCUCCGCCGUCUCACACCGGCGNNNNN